UUGCUGUGAUGACAUAUCUUAGGACACCUUUGGAGUAACCAUGAAAGAAAACUAUUCUGAGCAAC
rnacentral:snoRNA from 1 species